rnacentral:rRNA from 1 species
UUAUCCGGAUUUAUUGGGUUUAAAGGGUGCGUAGGCGGCAAGGUAAGUCAGCGGUGAAAGACCAGGGCUCAACUCUGGAAGUGCCGUUGAUACUGUCUGGCUAGAAUGAUUCCGCCGUGGGAGGAAUGAGUAGUGUAGCGGUGAAAUGCAUAGAUAUUACUCAGAACACCGAUUGCGAAGGCAUCUCACGAGGGGUUCAUUGACGCUGAGGCACGAAAGCGUGGGGAUCGAACAGGAUUAGAUACCCUGGUAGUCCACGCAGUAAACGAUGAUGGCUAACUGUCGGGCCUUUGGGUUCGGCGGCCAAGCGAAAGCGAUAAGCCAUCCACCUGGGGAGUACGACCGCAAGGUUGAAACUCAAAGGAAUUGACGGGGGCCCGCACAAGCGGAGGAACAUGUGGUUUAA